rnacentral:rRNA from 1 species
AGCGAACGCUGGCGGCAGGCCUAACACAUGCAAGUCGAACGAACCCUUCGGGGUUAGUGGCGGACGGGUGAGUAACACGUGGGAACGUGCCUUUAGGUUCGGAAUAACUCAGGGAAACUUGUGCUAAUAGCGAAUGUGCCCUUCGGGGGAAAGAUUUAUCGCCUGUAGAGCGGCCCGCGUCUGAUUAGCUAGUUGGUGAGGUAAUGGCUCACCAAGGCUACGAUCAGUAGCUGGUCUGAGAGGAUGACCCGCCACAUUGGGACUGAGACACGGCCCAAACUCCUACGGGAGGCAGCAGUGGGGAAUCUUGCGCAAUGGGCGAAAGCCUGACGCAGCCAUGCCGCGUGGAUGAUGAAGGUCUUAGGAUUGUAAAAUCCUUUCACCGGUGAAGAUAAUGACUGUAGCCGGAGAAGAAGCCCCGGCUAACUUCGUGCCAGCCGCCGCCGUAAUAC